GCGGUUCGCUCGUGUUGCAUUAUUUUCGUACCUACAUUACAUUGUAUGUACAUAUUUAUCAGUACGUUCAUGUGUUAUGUUGUGUCGUACGAAUUUGAACUAUAAUGUACUAUAUGUAGCUUAGCUGCUUCAAUCACCUUCAAAUUCGUUGUAACCGGUGAGGCUAAGCCUAUACCUAAGGAGAAAAUUGAAGAAUUUUCGUAGCGAUAGCCUGCCACUGAGAUGAUUCAACGAAGGCACAGUGAUGGUUGAAAAGAACCGAUUCCGAUGUCAUUUGUGGUAAUGUGCAGUGUAAUCUGAAGAUGAGCUCUUUGAAAUACUAUUUUCGCGAUCAACUUAUUGGGAAUUUCGAGUUGGAGUCGCGAUAGCUCAGGAUGAUGUUCGAGUGCAAUUUGUUCUACUGGUUCCUGGAGAUCGAUUGGUCGAUAAUUAUAGAUGCCUCAGAAUAAGAACAAUUGCUUCGAUGUGGCACUCGGAUAGCUUUUGAAAAACGAUUUCGAUAACUGUGUGGAUGAUGUGGCAAAUAUUAUUUUUAAGCAGAUUCGUUGUAACCGAUGAAUAAUCAAACCUAUAAGACGUAUAAAUUGAAGAGUUAUUGUAGCAAUUGAAUAGGCUGCCACUGAGAUGAUUCAACGAAGACUUCGUGUUCGUAAUGGUUGAAAGGAACCGAUUCCGGUGACAUAUGAAUGAUUUUAAAAGCGAGUUCGAUAACUGAGUACGAUGUUAGAGUUCAAUUUCUUAUAUAAGUAUAACCAAGGCACGAUUGACGACAUCGUGGAAAAUAACUCAUCGAGGUGAUAAUCUGUUAUUUCGCCUUCAAGGUAACGCUGUAUUGUACUCGUAGCAAUUCUUACCUAUGUUUAAGCAGUUGAAAUUUUUUUUUUUUUGAAAAAUCCACCAUGGUUAUUGCGUAUACCUAUAAUUAAUAAUAUGCAUAAGCUGUCUCCAUAUGAUUUUUAUUAGACACUAUCCAAGUGAACUUAUACUUAUUAUAAGUUUUUUAAUGUGAUCCCAUUUUUUGACAAUGCUUUGAAUUCCUUGGAAGACUUUUAUAUUUUUGAUGAACUUUUUACGAGUCACCUUGCACCAGUCUAUGACAGAUUUCAUCGCUGUCGUAUGUAAAAAUUAACAAAUACGACGUUAUCUCGAUCCAUAUUCAUGAACGGUUAUUUUUAUAAUCGU